UACGUAGGGCGCAAGCGUUGUCCGGAAUUAUUGGGCGUAAAGAGCUCGUAGGCGGUCUGUCGCGUCGGCUGUGAAAACCCGAGGCUCAACCUCGGGCCUGCAGUCGAUACGGGCAGACUAGAGUGCUGUAGGGGAGACUGGAAUUCCUGGUGUAGCGGUGAAAUGCGCAGAUAUCAGGAGGAACACCGGUGGCGAAAGCGGUGCACUGGUGGAUUACUGACGCUGAGGUGCGAAAGCCAGGGGAGCAAACGGG
rnacentral:rRNA from 1 species